rnacentral:rRNA from 1 species
UCAUCCGAGGCCCCGUAAUCGGAAUGAGAACAUCCUAAAUCCUUUAACGAGGAUCUAUUGGAGGGCAAGUCUGGUGCCAGCAGCCGCGGUAAUUCCAGCUCCAAUAGCGUAUAUUAAAGUUGUUGCGGUUAAAAAGCUCGUAGUUGGUUCUGCGUGCCACGCUGUCGGUUCACCGCCUGUCGGUGCAACUGGCAUGCCGUGGCAUGUCCUGUCGGUGGCGGAUAGGCUUCGCGGCGCUCCCUGCAUAACUUCGUUGUGUAGGCCGUCGUGUUGUCCUUGUAAGCCGGCUCAAUCCUACCGCGGUGCUCUUUACCGAGUGUCGAGGUAGGCCGACACAUUUUACUUUGAACAAAUUAGAGUGCUUAAAGCAGGCUCUUAAAUCAGCCUGAAUAGUGGUGCAUGGAAUAAUGGAACAGGACCUUGGUUCUAUUUUGUUGGUUUUAGGAAUCCAAGGUAAUGAUCAAUAAGGACAGGCGGGGGCAUUCGUAUUGCGACGUUAGAGGUGAAAUUCUUGGAUCGUCGCAAGACGCACUAGAGCGAAAGCAUUUGCCAAGUAUGUCUUAAUUGAUCAAGAACGAAAGUUAGAGGUUCGAAGGCGAUCA